UUGACUGUUCUGAUUUCUCUGAUCUGAUGAUUGUGACACACUGAGGAAAUUGUGUAGUUUAAGUGUGGUCUAUUAGGGGACAUUCUGAUUUUUCUUUGUUAGUUUUUGUUUUUUGCGUUAAAUUUUUUGUUUUUUAGGUAUUUUUUGUUUUUUCUUGUGUAAAGUUUUGCAUGUUUCUCUUGAUUUCGGGACUUUGUUUUGGUUGUAGAUGUGUCUUUCACUUCAUUGAUACUCUGAUUGAUUUGAAAUCAAUGCUUUUCUUUGCUUGGAAGAUGAUUAUGAUGUUUGAGAGUUGAAUUGAUUGCGACAGAAAUACCCUGUGUGAGAAUUUGAGCCACUUGAUAUUCUUUCUUGUGUGUGAUAUAUCUCUUGAUUGCUUGCACAUAUGCCUUGGCUUGACUCUUUUUGAUGAUUCUUGAUUGAUAUGCAUGUUUGAAAGUGAUAAAGGCAACUUUGUUGUUGAGCCUCUCUAGCCAAAUGAGUGAUGAGUUGCCGCGGCCCAUACAAAUUUGAUUGCAUAUGAGAAAUGCAGUAUAGACUAGGAAGUGACUCCUAGGUCGUCUCCCAAGGACCAAUU
rnacentral:lncRNA from 1 species